rnacentral:rRNA from 1 species
AGUGAACGCUGGCGGUAGGCCUAACACAUGCAAGUCGAACGGCAGCACAGUAGGGCCUCCUUCUUCCGGGGGGCGGUGGGCGGAGGGGUGGGGAAUACAUCGAAUCCUAUUUUUCCGGGGGGAUAAAGUGGGGGAACCUUCGCCAACAACCGCUAAGACCUAACGGUGAAAACCGGGGGUUUUCGGGGCCUGUGACAAUUAAAGAGCCGGUGUCGGAUUUGCUAGUUGGCGGGGUAAAGGGCCACCAAGGCGACGAUCCGUAGCUGGUCUGAGAGGAUGAUCAGCCACACUGGAACUGAGACACGGUCCAGACUCCGACGGGAGGCAGCAGUGGGGAAUAUUGGACAAUGGGCGCAAGCCUGAUCCAGCCAUACCGCGUGGGUGAAGAAGGCCUUCGGGUUGUAAAGCCCUUUUGUUGGGAAAGAAAAGCAGCAGGUUAAUAACCCGCUGUUCUGACGGUACCCAAAGAAUAAGCACCGGCUAACUACGUG